rnacentral:rRNA from 1 species
GACGAACGCUGGCGGCGUGCCUAAUACAUGCAAGUUGAGCGAUGAAGCUUGGUGCUUGCACCAAUUUGAAGAGCAGCGAACGGGUGAGUAACGCGUGGGGAAUCUGCCUUUGAGCGGGGGACAACAUUUGGAAACGAAUGCUAAUACCGCAUAACAACUUUAAACAUAAGUUUUAAGUUUGAAAGAUGCAAUUGCAUCACUCAAAGAUGAUCCCGCGUUGUAUUAGCUAGUUGGUGAGGUAAAGGCUCACCAAGGCGAUGAUACAUAGCCGACCUGAGAGGGUGAUCGGCCACAUUGGGACUGAGACACGGCCCAAACUCCUACGGGAGGCAGCAGUAGGGAAUCUUCGGCAAUGGACGGAAGUCUGACCGAGCAACGCCGCGUGAGUGAAGAAGGGUUUCGGAUCGUAAAACUCUGUUGGUAGAGAAGAACGUUGGUGAGAGUGGAAAGCUCAUCAAGUGACGGUAACUACCCAGAAAGGGACGGCUAACUACGUG